CCUACGGGGGGCAGCAGUGAGGAAUAUUGGUCAAUGGACGCAAGUCUGAACCAGCCAAGUAGCGUGCAGGAUGACGGCCCUCCGGGUUGUAAACUGCUUUUAGUUGGGAAUAAAAGGGGGCUCGUGAGCCCCGUAUUGUAUGUACCAUCAGAAAAAGGACCGGCUAAUUCCGUGCCAGCAGCCGCGGUAAUACGGAAGGUCCGGGCGUUAUCCGGAUUUAUUGGGUUUAAAGGGAGCGUAGGCCGGCUUUUAAGUCAGCUGUGAAAGUCCGCGGCUCAACCGUGGAAUUGCAGUUGAAACUGGAGGCCGUGAGUGCACACAGGGAUGCCGGAAUUCAUGGUGUAGCGGUGAAAUGCGUAGAUAUAUGGAAGAACACCAGUGGCGAAAGCGGCUCUCUGGUCUGUAACUGACGCUGAGGUUCGAAAGCGUGGGUAGCAAACAGGAUUAGAUACCCUUGUAGUC
rnacentral:rRNA from 1 species